GGAAAGUGCCAUAGCUCAGUGGUAGAGCAUCUGCUUUGCAUGCUGAAGGCCCCAGGUUCAAUCCCUGGCAUCUCCA